rnacentral:lncRNA from 1 species
CUUGGCCUUUUAUUAGGGCUGCAUCCAGCCCUAGAGAGAAGAUCAGCCUUUCAUGGAGUUGUGGGCGACAGCAGCAGUGGCACAGCAGCGGGCUUCCAUUUGCAUCACGAUCGGCUUCCUUUCCCUCAGCACUUCAUUCUUAUUUUUUUUCUUUGGGAAAUCAUUCCCAAAAUAUCCAAACUUUUCUCCCUCCUCUGUUUCCCGUGGGAACUUGGCCUGUGAGUAGCUUCUCCAGCGAAGAGAUCAGCCCCCGAUGGGAAGAAGGGAUGGGUGCAGUCCCCCCUCUAUCGUGAAAAGGAAGAAUCGACUCCCUUUUUAUAGCCUGCCCACGUCUCUCUCC